ACGGAAGGCAGCAGUGGGGAAUAUUGGGCAAUGGGCGAAAGCCUGACCCAGCAACGCCGCGUGGAGGAUGACGGUCUUCGGAUUGUAAACUUCUUUAAUUGGGGAAGAAUAAAUGACCUACCCAAAGAAUUAGUCACGGCUAACUACGUGCCAGCAGCCGCGGUAAUACGUAGGUGACAAGCGUUAUCCGGAUUUACUGGGCGUAAAGGGCGUGUAGGCGGUUUGGCAAGUCAGAAGUGAAAUUCCUGAGCUCAACUCGGGCGCUGCUUCUGAAACUGCUAGACUUGAGUGCUGGAGGGGAUAGCGGAAUUCCUAGUGGAGCGGUAAAAUGCGCAGAUAUUAGGAAGAACACCAGUGGCGAAGGCGGCUAUCUGGACAGUAACUGACGCUGAGGCGCGAAAGCGUGGGGAGCAAACAGGAUUAGAUACCCUGGUA
rnacentral:rRNA from 1 species